rnacentral:rRNA from 1 species
AGCGAACGCUGGCGGCAGGCCUAACACAUGCAAGUCGAACGAACUCUUCGGAGUUAGUGGCGGACGGGUGAGUAACACGUGGGAACGUGCCUUUUGGUUCGGAAUAACUCAGGGAAACUUGUGCUAAUACCGAAUGUGCCCUUCGGGGGAAAGAUUUAUCGCCAUUAGAGCGGCCCGCGUCUGAUUAGCUAGUUGGUGAGGUAACGGCUCACCAAGGCGACGAUCAGUAGCUGGUCUGAGAGGAUGACCAGCCACACUGGGACUGAGACACGGCCCAGAAUCGUACGGAAGGCAGCAGUGGGGAAUCUUGCGCAAUGGGCGAAAGCCUGACGCAGCCAUGCCGCGUGAAUGAUGAAGGUCUUAGGAUUGUAAAAUUCUUUCACCGGGGACGAUAAUGACGGUACCCGGAGAAGAAGCCCCGGCUAACUUCGUG